rnacentral:rRNA from 1 species
GACACGGCCCAAACUCCUACGGGAGACAGCAGUUAGGAAUAUUCGUCAAUGGGGGAAACCCUGAACGAGCAAUGCCGCGUGAACGAUGAAGGCCCUAUGGGUUGUAAAGUUCUGUUGCAUGGGACGAACGAUUAGGAUAGGAAAUGAUCUUAAUGUGACGGUACCAUGCCAGAAAGCUCCGGCUAACUACGUGCCAGCAGCCGCGGUAAUACGUAGGGAGCAAGCGUUAUCCGGAUUUAUUGGGCGUAAAGGGUGCGUAGGCGGCUUGUUAAGUAUGAGAUUAAAGCCCGAGGCUUAACCUCGGUUCGUUUCAUAAACUGGCAGGCUUGAGUGUGGCAGAGGUAAACGGAAUUUCUAGUGUAGCGGUUAAAUGCGUAGAUAUUAGAAGGAACACCAGUGGCGAAGGCGGUUUACUGGGCCAUAACUGACGCUGAGGCACGAAAGCGUGGGGAGCAAAUAGGAUUAGAUACCCUAGUAGUCCACGCCGUAAACGAUGAGUACUAAGUGUUGGGGUUACCCAGUGCUGAAGCUAACGUAUUAAGUACUCCGCCUGAGUAGUACGGUCGCAAGGCUGAAACUCAAAGGAAUUGACGGGCACCCGCACAAGCAGUGGAGCAUGCUGUUUAAUUCGAAGAUACGCGAAGAACCUUACCAGGGCUUGACAUCCCACUGACCGCUUUAGAAAUAAGGCUUUCCCUUCGGGGACAGUGGUGACAGGUGGUGCAUGGUUGUCGUCAGCUCGUGUCGUGAGAUGUUCGGUUAAGUCCGCUAACGAGCGCAACCCUUAUCCUUAGUUGCUAACAUUAAGUUGAGAACCCUAAGGAGACUGCCGGUGACAAACCGGAGGAAGGUGGGGAUGACGUCAAAUCAUCAUGCCCCUUACGUCUAGGGCUACAGGCGUGCUAUAAUGGCCGAUACAAUAAGAAGCAAUACUGUGAAGUGGAGCAAAUCUGUAAAGUCGGUCUCAGUUCGGAUUGAAGUCUGCAACUCGACUUCAUGAAGCUAGAAUUGCUAGUAAUCGUGGAUCAGAAUGCCACGGUGAAUACGUUCCCGGGUGUUGUACACACCGCCCGUCACGCCAUGGGAGUCUGUAAUAUCUAAAAAUGGUAGCCUAACCGUUUACGGAGGGAUCCAUCUAAGGUAGGACAGGUGACUGGGGUGAAGUCGUAACAAGGUAUCACUACCGGAAGGUGGGGAUG